rnacentral:lncRNA from 1 species
AAACGGGGUAAAACCUAUCUGACGUGACACUUUCCUCUUUUGUCUAUUUUUCUCUCUCCUCUAAAAGUCGGCGCCUUCCCUUUUAUCUACUUUUCUCUCUCCUCCAAAAACAAAGCAACAAUAACAAGAAGAAAAUGGAUGAAGAUUGGGGUUUACGAUAACCAGCACAAUAGUAAUUCAUGGUUCCCUACAUAUGAAUAGGAUAAUCUUUCAACCCUAUUUCAUCUUCUCUCUCAAGAUCUUCAGACCAGUAUAUCUGCAGAAGUAAAACAAAAAAGGUUACGAGCUCCAUCUCCCAACCAUCUAUCCUACAACACUCGUGAAAUGAAAUACUAACAACACCAUCUUCUCUUCCUCGACCACCGCAACCAAAUCGUCGUGUAUAAUAUAUUCCAAGAUGCCUCGUUUUUGAGAAGCAUCGUCGCAGACGGUGGCGGUGAUAUUUGUGGAGUUGUGAUCUGAUAGGGGAAUCUGCCAAGGACUUGGGUGUGGGAUUUUCAGAUCUUGAUGUUUGUGCUAGUGUUGGUCCUGUUGGAGGAUUUGGAAAAUGGCUCCUAUUCGGAUAUGCUCCUGUCGAUCCAUGUGUUUGUCCAAACUAAGUUCAUGUUUUAUUUCUGCUAAUCAUUAUCAUGACCAGAUUUGGAGUUUUUAAUUGAUUUAAAUUGAAGUUUCUCUUCAAUGGAUCUAAUCAAUUUGUUGUUUUCCAAUCUGAUUCUUAAUGUUUGUUGUUGGUUUAUCUUUUACGGAAUCAGUUGGGUACUUUUUCGGAUUUGUUCAUCUUAACUCGUGUUGGGAUGGUUUUGGAUCUGGCGAUUCCAUAUUAGUUUGAUUUAGGGAUUUUUUUUCUUCUUCUAAAUCUAGCUAAUUUGGUGUUUCUAAUGUAGUUCUUUGUAACUGCAUUUUGGUUUGUGCUCCAUUAUAUCCAGAACUGCUUCUUUCUUAAUGGUUUUGGGUUGUCUUCUGUGGCAAUUUGGUGUUGAUGUUGAAGUCUCUUAGUCUGGUCUUUUGGAUUCAGAUCUGUUUUCCAUUGUUCAUUUUAGCAUGUUUUUUAUUUUCUUAAUCGGUUAAUGAUUUGUUUAAUAGUGAUUGGGUUGUUGCUUUGUGGCAAUCUAGUUUUUUGCUACCUCCUCCUCGCCGAUUGGCAUGGUCGAAGUGGCUGUCAUCGUUGGACGGUUUAGGGGCCGGUAACGGUGAAAGGCGUAUAAUAUAUUCCAAGUCGUCUUUAGAAAUAAAUUGGGGAGGAAGCCAAAACUCUCAAUCAUCCAAAUCCUCUGCCAUAUGAGGAAAAUAUAUCAAAGUCGUCG